rnacentral:rRNA from 1 species
CGCCUUGCCAGCCCGCUCAGAAACUCAAAGGAAUUGACGGGGCCCGCACAAGCGGUGGAGCAUGUGGAUUAAUUCGAUGCAACGCGAAGAACCUUACCUGGGUUUGACAUACACCGGAAAACCGUAGAGAUACGGUCCCCCUUGUGGUCGGUGUACAGGUGGUGCAUGGCUGUCGUCAGCUCGUGUCGUGAGAUGUUGGGUUAAGUCCCGCAACGAGCGCAACCCUUGUCUUAUGUUGCCAGCACGUGAUGGUGGGGACUCGUAAGAGACUGCCGGGGUCAACUCGGAGGAAGGUGGGGACGACGUCAAGUCAUCAUGCCCCUUAUGUCCAGGGCUUCACACAUGCUACAAUGGCCAGUACAGAGGGCUGCGAGACCGUGAGGUGGAGCGAAUCCCUUAAAGCUGGUCUCAGUUCGGAUCGGGGUCUGCAACUCGACCCCGUGAAGUCGGAGUCGCUAGUAAUCGCAGAUCAGCAACGCUGCGGUGAAUACGUUCCCGGGCCUU